GACGAACGCUGGCGGCGUGCCUAAUACAUGCAAGUAGAACGCUGAAGGAGGAGCUUGCUCUUCUGGAUGAGUUGCGAACGGGUGAGUAACGCGUAGGUAACCUGCCUGGUAGCGGGGGAUAACUAUUGGAAACGAUAGCUAAUACCGCAUAACAGUAGAUGUUGCAUGACAUUUGCUUAAAAGGUGCAAUUGCAUCACUACCAGAUGGACCUGCGUUGUAUUAGCUAGUUGGUGGGGUAACGGCUCACCAAGGCGACGAUACAUAGCCGACCUGAGAGGGGGAUCGGCCCACCUGGGACUGGGACACGGCCCAGACUCCUACGGGAGGCAGCAGUAGGGAAUCUUCGGCAAUGGACGGAAGUCUGACCGAGCAACGCCGCGUGAGUGAAGAAGGUUUUCGGAUCGUAAAGCUCUGUUGUAAGAGAAGAACGAGUGUGAGAGUGGAAAGUUCACACUGUGACGGUAUCUUACCAGAAAGGGACGGCUAACUACGUG
rnacentral:rRNA from 1 species